rnacentral:rRNA from 1 species
CUCAUUAAAUCAGUUAUCGUUUAUUUGAUAGUACCUUACUACAUGGAUAACCGUGGUAAUUCUAGAGCUAAUACAUGCUAAAAACCUCGACUUCGGAAGGGGUGUAUUUAUUAGAUAAAAAACCAAUGCCCUUCGGGGCUCCUUGGUGAAUCAUAAUAACUUAACGAAUCGCAUGGCCUUGCGCCGGCGAUGGUUCAUUCAAAUUUCUGCCCUAUCAACUUUCGAUGGUAGGAUAGUGGCCUACCAUGGUAUCAACGGGUAACGGGGAAUUAGGGUUCGACUCCGGAGAGGGAGCCUGAGAAACGGCUACCACAUCCAAGGAAGGCAGCAGGCGCGCAAAUUACCCAAUCCCGACACGGGGAGGUAGUGACAAUAAAUACUGAUACAGGGCUCUUUUGGGUCUUGUAAUUGGAAUGAGUACAAUUUAAAUCCCUUAACGAGGAACAAUUGGAGGGCAAGUCUGGUGCCAGCAGCCGCGGUAAUUCCAGCUCCAAUAGCGUAUAUUAAAGUUGUUGCAGUUAAAAAGCUCGUAGUUGAACCUUGGGCCUGGCUGGCCGGUCCGCCUCACCGCGUGUACUGGUCCGGCCGGGCCUUUCCUUCUGGGGAACCUCAUGCCCUUCACUGGGCGUGUUGGGGAACCAGGACUUUUACUUUGAAAAAAUUAGAGUGUUCAAAGCAGGCCUUUGCUCGAAUACAUUAGCAUGGAAUAAUAGAAUAGGACGUGUGGUUCUAUUUUGUUGGUUUCUAGGACCGCCGUAAUGAUUAAUAGGGAUAGUCGGGGGCAUCAGUAUUCAAUCGUCAGAGGUGAAAUUCUUGGAUUGAUUGAAGACUAACUACUGCGAAAGCAUUUGCCAAGGAUGUUUUCAUUAAUCAGUGAACGAAAGUUAGGGGAUCGAAGACGAUCAGAUACCGUCGUAGUCUUAACCAUAAACUAUGCCGACUAGGGAUCGGACGGUGUUAGUAUUUUGACCCGUUCGGCACCUUACGAGAAAU